AGAAUGAAAGAAGGUUUGGGAAGCACUUACAAUUUCACUGAUCUUUGAUUGAUACAGAAAUACCAAUUUAGAAUCUUAUAAAUGUAAAACAAAAUUGAUCCAGAUGUUCGAGCAGCUAGGGACAAGAACGGUGUUUACAUACCUCAUGAAAGAUUUGUCCAAGAGGAAGCAGAAAAGAAGGUAACCUUCCAAUAUUUCUCUUUAGUGCACUUUAUUAGGUUAUGAUAUGUUGCAUAUUAUAAAUUUUAAAACAGGUCAUUUCCUCGAAUUUUGAAGAGAACUUAACGUUUCUUAUCAAAAAAGGAUACUCUUAAAAAAAAGGAUACUCUUAAUGUAGGCUCUAGGGGAUUGAUUUGAAUUUUAACUUAUA
rnacentral:lncRNA from 1 species